UACAGAGGUCCCAAGCGUUGUUCGGAUUCACUGGGCGUAAAGGGUGCGUAGGUGGUGAGGUAAGUCGGAUGUGAAAUCUCCGAGCUCAACUCGGAAAUUGCAUUGGAAACUACCUUGCUUGAGGGUUGGAGGGGGGACUGGAAUGCUUGGUGUAGCAGUGAAAUGCGUAGAUAUCAGGAGGAACACCGAUGGCGAAGGCAGGUCUCUGGGCUGACACUGACGCUCAUGCACGAAAGCGUGGGGAGCAAACAGG
rnacentral:rRNA from 1 species